AAGUCGUAACAAGGUUUCCGUAGGUGAACCUGCGGAAGGAUCAUUAACUUGAUUUUAUAUAUAAAUAAACACACACUUUUUUUUACAAAUUUUCCUGCUUCUUUCAGCAGCAAGGAAAAAUAAUAAUAUAAGGGGGCCAUUUUUAUAUUAUUUAUUUUUAUAAACUAAUGUUAUGUGCAAACAACAACAAUGUAAAUUUUAAAAUAACUUUCAACAACGGAUCUCUAGGCUCUU
rnacentral:misc_RNA from 1 species